GCAUAUCAAUAAGCGGAGGAAAAGAAAACAACUGUGAUUCCCUUAGUAAUGNAGAAUGAAACGGGAACAGCCCAUCGUGUAACUGCAGGUCAUCUUGGCUCGCGGAAUGUCACGUUUGGGAGAGUCUCAUCGGGAGCCGGAUGGCCAGUCAAAGUCCAACUUGACAGUGGCCACUGCCCAUAGAGGGUGAUAGGCCCGUAAGGCGGCCGUCCGUUCCUGCCGACUUUUCCCUCGAGUCGGGUUGCUUGGGAGUGCAGCCCAAAGUGUGAGGUAAACUCCUCAUAAGGCUAAAUAUUACCCCGAGACCGAUAGCAAACAAGUACCGUGAGGGAAAAUUGAAAAGAACUUUGAAGAGAGAGUUCAAUAGUACGUGAAACUGUGUGGUGGUAAACGGAGGGGUUCUCGAAGUUUCUGUGGGGAACUCAACUUUGGUGUUGGGCGGUCUGGGCGUAUCCGAUCAGCAAUGACGGUGCGUUUGGUCUGGCUUGACUCCCGGGUGCAUUUUCCCCGCAGUUUACGGCAGGAACCGUUUGGCUCGGAUCAAAGGCCUUGGGUGAAGUUGUCGGUUCUGCUGGCAGCCCCUUGUGUCCUGGCUCUGCGCCCGACGGGUACGUGAGAGGACUCGUAUAGCGAGCAACGCUCUGUUUGCGGUCCUCAUCUCUCUGCCGAGUAGGUCGGCGGCCCCUCCGACCCGUCUUGAAACAC
rnacentral:rRNA from 1 species